rnacentral:rRNA from 1 species
GACGAACGCUGGCGGCGUGCCUAACACAUGCAAGUCGAACGGAACUGUUUUGAAAGCUUUCUUCGGAAUGAAUUUGAUUUAGUUUAGUGGCGGACGGGUGAGUAACGCGUGAGUAACCUGCCUUCAAGAGGGGAAUAACAUUCUGAAAAGAAUGCUAAUACCGCAUGACAUAUCGGAACCACAUGGUUUUGAUAUCAAAGAUUUUAUCGCUUGAAGAUGGACUCGCGUCCGAUUAGUUAGUUGGUGAGGUAACGGCUCACCAAGACCGCGAUCGGUAGCCGGACUGAGAGGUUGAACGGCCACAUUGGGACUGAGACACGGCCCAGACUACUACGGGAGGCAGCAGUGGGGGAUAUUGCGCAAUGGGGGCAACCCUGACGCAGCAACGCCGCGUGAAGGAUGAAGGUUUUCGGAUUGUAAACUUCUUUUAUUAAGGACGAAAAAUGACGGUACUUAAUGAAUAAGCUCCGGCUAACUACGUG